CUGAUAAACAACAGAACCUCAGAGACACUAAUCAACCCAACAGGUUGAUAUACAACAGAACCUCAGAGACACUAAUCUGACUGAUCAACCCAACAGGCUGAUAAACAACAGAACCUCAGAGACACUAAUCAACCCAACAGGCUGAUAUACAACAGAACCUCAGAGACACUAAUCAACCCAACA